rnacentral:misc_RNA from 1 species
UCAAACUUGGUCAUUUAGAGGAAGUAAAAGUCGUAACAAGGUCUCCGUAGGUGAACCUGCGGAGGGAUCAUUACUGAGUGAGGGCCUCCGGGCUCGACCUCCCACCCUUGUGUUGUCUGACCGCGUUGCUUCGGGGCCGCCGUCUCUGGCGGCGCCCCGGAGGACCGUCUUCAAACUCUUGCAUUACUGCGUCUGAGUCUUAAUGAAAAUAAAUGAAAACUUUCAACAACGGAUCUCUUGGUUCUGGCAUCGAUGAAGAACGCAGC